GUGGGGAAUUUUGGACAAUGGGCGCAAGCCUGAUCCAGCAAUGCCGCGUGCAGGAAGAAGGCCUUCGGGUUGUAAACUGCUUUUGUACGGAACGAAACGGUCCUGGCUAAUAUCCGGGGCUAAUGACGGUACCGUAAGAAUAAGCACCGGCUAACUACGUGCCAGCAGCCGCGGUAAUACGUAGGGUGCGAGCGUUAAUCGGAAUUACUGGGCGUAAAGCGUGCGCAGGCGGUGCUGUAAGACAGGCGUGAAAUCCCCGGGCUCAACCUGGGAAUUGCGCUUGUGACUGCAGUGCUGGAGUGCGGCAGAGGGGGAUGGAAUUCCGCGUGUAGCAGUGAAAUGCGUAGAUAUGCGGAGGAACACCGAUGGCGAAGGCAAUCCCCUGGGCCUGCACUGACGCUCAUGCACGAAAGCGUGGGGAGCAAACAGGAUUAGAUACCCGGUAGUCC
rnacentral:rRNA from 1 species